UACAAUGAAGCGCAUCUUCUUCGGGCUUCUGUGCGCUUAUGUUGUGUGUGCUUUGCCGCCAUUGACUCCAGAACAAGAGGAGCUGAUGAAACAGCAUGGAUUGAAAGUACUAUCCUUAUCAAGCAAUAACACAUCAUAUUAUCAUGGCAAACGCGUGGCGCUGAAGCACAAGUACGUGGGAGCUAAUGGGAACAUACAGAAUACGCGGUAUAGCGGGGACUGGUUAGCAGUGGAGGCCACCACAGCCGUCAGCGAGUGGGGACACU